rnacentral:lncRNA from 1 species
UAACGUGGCAUGGUUCACGGUUUUUGAACAAAAGGAUAUAAGGCUCAAAGUUUAUUUUAACCCACCCCUUCUUCAUGAUGAUCUCCAAUCCUACGUUCAGUUAAGUCAACACACACACUCAACUUUUAAGAGAGUUUGGAAGUGUAAGAUCUCUUGAAAUGGCAGUCAUCUUAUUUUGCUCUUCAUGGAUGUUGGUGACCCUUUGAUUUUGGUAUGAUGGUCACCGAAUCUUGUUUUGUUUUGUUGAGGGUUUUCGUGACCUCUUU